GAUGAACGCUGGCGGCGUGCCUAAUACAUGCAAGUCGAGCGAACAGACGAGGAGCUUGCUUCUCUGACGUUAGCGGCGGACGGGUGAGUAAUACGUGGAUAACCUACCUAUAAGACUGGGAUAACUUCGGGAAACCGGAGCUAAUACCGGAUAAUAUAUUGAACCGCAUGGUUCAAUAGUGAAAGACGGUUUUGCUGUCCCUUAUAGAUGGAUCCGCGCCGCAUUAGCUAGUUGGUAAGGUAACGGCUUACCAAGGCGACGAUGCGUAGCCGACCUGAGAGGGUGAUCAGCCACACUGGAACUGAGACACGGUCCAGACUCCUACGGGAGGCAGCAGUAGGGAAUCUUCCGCAAUGGGCGAAAGCCUGACGGAGCAACGCCGCGUGAGUGAUGAAGGUCUUCGGAUCGUAAAACUCUGUUAUUAGGGAAGAACAAAAGUGUAAGUAACUAUGCACGUCUUGACGGUACCUAAUCAGAAAGCCACGGCUAACUACGUG
rnacentral:rRNA from 1 species